ACCGGAGGAAGGUGGGGAUGACGUCAAAUCAUCAUGCCCCUUAUGAUUUGGGCUACACACGUGCUACAAUGGACAAUACAAAGGGCAGCGAAACCGCGAGGUCAAGCAAAUCCCAUAAAGUUGUUCUCAGUUCGGAUUGUAGUCUGCAACUCGACUAUAUGAAGCUGGAAUCGCUAGUAAUCGUAGAUCAGCAUGCUACGGUGAAUACGUUCCCGGGUCUUGUACACACCGCCCGUCACACCACGAGAGUUUGUAACACCCGAAGCCGGUGGAGUAACCAUUUGGAGCUAGCCGUCGAAGGUGGGACAAAUGAUUGGGGUGAAGUCGUAACAAGGUAGCCGUAUCGGAAGGUGCGGCUGGAUCACCUCCUUUCUAAGGA
rnacentral:rRNA from 1 species